rnacentral:rRNA from 1 species
AUUGAACGCUGGCGGCAUGCCUUACACAUGCAAGCCGAACGGCAGCACGGGUGCUUGCACCUGGUGGCGAGUGGCGAACGGGUGAGUAAUAUAUCGGAACGUACCUUAUUGUGGGGGAUAACGCAGCGAAAGCUGUGCUAAUACCGCAUAAUCCCUAAGGGGGAAAGCGGGGGACCGUAAGGCCUCGCGCAAUUAGAGCGGCCGAUACCUAAUUAGCUAGUUGGUGAGGUAAAGGCUCACCAAGGCAACGAUCAGUAGCUGGUCUGAGAGGACGAUCAGCCACACUGGGACUGAGACACGGCCCAGACUCCUACGGGAGGCAGCAGUGGGGAAUUUUGGACAAUGGGGGCAACCCUGAUCCAGCAAUGCCGCGUGAGUGAAGAAGGCCUUCGGGUUGUAAAGCUCUUUUGUCAGGGAAGAAACAUCAGCUCUAACACAGUUUGCGAAUGACGGUACCUGAAGAAUAAGCACCGGCUAACUACGUGCCAGCCGCCGCUGUAA